CUACUAUUCCCAGAGUUCUCUGUGGGCUGGUUGCUGAUCCCCCCCCCCGGGGGGGAAGUUAUAGCCUUAGAUUCCUCAUUAUGGUGAACAGACAAGCAGCGAGCAUCAUUUUUAUACAGAGUGGCCUGAAACCUGAAACACACAUCAAAGUGGAAAGAGCACAGAGCAAGUCAGAAACAGACUGGAAUUUGUAAAAUGCACAUUACAGAAACAAGGCAAAUCUGUGAUGUGUCCUAGAUCUAAAUACUUUCCUUAAUUUCUUUUGAGGGAUAACUUUCAGCUGCAAGCAUCUGCGAUUCUUUUGUCCCACUCUGAAUCAAAAGGUUACAGACUUACAUUAAAACUUGUGAAGUGAUGGAGCCUGGAGGAACAAAAAGGGAUUCCAGUCACUGAAUGUUACGGGUAGGAUGGUGGUGUGGAAAAGGGGACAGGGCUUCUCCACUUUUAAUUGGUAGUAGGGGAAGCAAGCAGCACAGCAUAGUCUGGGAUCACUUUGAGGUAGCAACCCAGCAAUACUGUUUGCCUGCGUUGUAGGAAACAACUGAGCAGAGGAAAGGUUCCAGAGCAUUACACCAGCAGCAGCCGCCUCAUGUGGACAACUCCAGUCCCUGUUGUUUAGGAAAGAGUGAAGGAAUGACAAGAGGGCAGGGCAGAUUCAAAGUGAGAAGGACCCCUCUAACUCUCAAGCUCUCCCCCGCCCCCCAUAACAAGUGGUCAAAGCAGCUUAGGGGGGUGUCUAUGGUGUAUGGAGAGUAUAGAUCCAUAAAAUGGAAGUUCCCAAAGCUCACAUGAGCCCACUCCUCAAAUCACAACACUUUAUGUGCUUCCUUCUGUGCAAUACUACCUCUGCAAUACUACCUAUUCAAUGCCAUUGAGAUGGAGCUUGCAAACUAGCAAAUAAAUCACAAGGAGGAAAGCAAACCCCUUUAAGUCUCCUCCCCAAAUCAAAUUCAAAAGUGCCUUCUUCUUUUACCUAGAAACAUCUCUGUCAUACCUGCUAUUUUCAGACCAAUUGCCCACAAAACACUAGAGAAGAUAAACUGAUUUCAUUUUUUCCCAUCCCAAAAUGGUUAUGGCUGCUUUACUGGAUAAUCAUUGCCACUAGAUUCAUCUCCCCAGAAGGAUCUACCAUGACUGCAAAUUUCAUCAAAUUCUACCCCAAAGUAAAAGAACAAAAUACAGUGGUACCUCAGGUUAAGAACUUAAUUCGUUCUGGAGGUCCGUCCUUAACCUGAAACUGUUCUUAACCUGACGAACCACUUUAGCUAAUGGGGCCUCCUUCUGCUGCUGCUGCUGCUGCUGCCAGAGCACGAUUUCUGUUCUCAUCCUGAAGCAAAGUUCUUAACCCGAGGUACUAUUUCUGGGUUAGCGGAGUCUGUAACCUGAAGCGUCUGUAACCUGAAGCAUCUGUAACCCAAGGUACUACUGUAGUGAGAAAUGUUUCCUUUUUAAAUAGCACUGCCAAAAUAGUUUAAAAAAGCCUAGCACAAACAACCUCUAGACCUAUUUAACUGUAAGCUGGCAGGCGUUAUUUACUCUAGAAAGGCCACUAUGUCUACAAAUUCCAUCCAUUUCUGCAGCCAGAUUUUUUAUUUCCCAAUAAGCAUGGGGGGCGGGGAACAAAGCCUCAUUUUUCCCCAGAGGGGCUUUGCCCCAGAGUAUGAGUUGAACUGGGAAGUCUCUGAAGCAUUUUGGAUCAAGGCAGAUAGUUUCUAAAGUGCCAGAUCAGUGUCCAAACUGUUAUAAAGCAAGCAUUUCGCCCUAGCUGUCUUGCAAUACAUGAAGCUGCUAACUACAGCAGAACCAGGAUCUUAUACUGGGACCUUACAAUCCAAGAACCUUCUGCUCCAGGGCAGGAAUCUAAGCAACAGGCUUAAAAACUAAAGCAGUCUUUCUAUUCUUCAUCCAUCUUUAAUAAAUGGGGCAAGGGAAAUCCCAUACAUCGAAUAGGCACCAGUCAUGAAUUAUUGAACGUACUAAUAUAACAUAUGAAUGCUCUAUAACUUGCAUUGGAUUAUUUGCAGUGGGGGCUUUUUAUAUAAAGAAAACAGAAAAAGAAAAUGGCUGUUUAGUACUGGUAUUAUAAGAGUCUGCUAGCCUCGUUAUUAUCAUAGGCUUUCAUUAGAAAUCCUUUAUAUCUGUAAACAGUACCAUUAAAAUAAUUGUCCUUUAAUUCACAUUUAUUUAUUUUUUAUUAGCUUACCUCUCAGCUCUAGCAAUAAAUAGAAUGCAAUUGUCAGAUGCUGCUUCAAACUGUCUUAAAAGAUGUCAAUUUCCACAGUAGUACAAGGAACAGAUUAUAUAGGCAGGAGGAGGAAUCAAUGACUCAGCACUCAGGAGACACAUCCCUGCUUGUUAUUUCUGCUAAAUCAUCUGUUUCCUUCCCUUAUGGGCAAUACUUGCCAGGGUAUGCAGAUAUACUUAAGGUGAUGGCAAUUCGGAUUGCUAGGGGAGGAAAUUUGAGGAUAAAGUUAAUUUGAUAUUGCUGAUUUACACAAGUGGGGGGCUUUAUGGGAGUGGGGGGUGCUCUCUGCAUAAUCAACUUAUUUCCUCUCCUUUUGUAGUGCCAUGUGUUAAAACUUGAUGUAAAAUCAGUAGAAGCCAGGCGUGUGGUGUGGAUUCUGAAGUCUGAGAUUAAAGUGGAUAAUUUGCUUGCAGCAGCUGUAGCCUCAAGAAGCAAAACAAGAAUAAAGAACCCCCACCCCACAAGGGGGAAAAACCCCAGCAGGAUCUGAGCAAUGUGCC
rnacentral:lncRNA from 1 species